rnacentral:rRNA from 1 species
UACGGAGGGUGCAAGCGUUAUCCGGAUUCACUGGGUUUAAAGGGUGCGUAGGCGGCUUGAUAAGUCAUUGGUGAAAGCUCGCAGCUCAACUGCGAAACUGCCAUUGGAAUUGUCAAGCUUGAAUGUGGUUGAAGUGGGCGGAAUACAACAUGUAGCGGUGAAAUGCUUAGAUAUGAUACAGAACACCAAUUGCGAAAGCAGCUUACUAUGCUAUUAUUGACGCUGAGGCACGAAAGCGUGGGGAG